UCUUCCUAAUUCUUAAACUACUUCUUUGAUGGUAUUUGAUUUACUUUGACUUUUGUUAGCAUUAUUUUAGUCGAUCAACUAAUUUUAAUCCUUCUUUAAUUCUAGUACUCGAAUGUAACUCAGUCCAUGAUCUUCAUGGAUACAAAUAUGACUCACACUAUUUAUAUAGUUGAGAUCAGUAAUUUAUCUUUGAUUGCCUUACGGCAAGGCGAAUCAAUAUCCACUUUCUAUGAAAUAUGGGAAAUGUUACAAUAAUAAGUGAUUUUUUUCAUUCUCUCCUUUUAGAGCUCCAAUCAAAUAAGAUGCCUCUUCUUUAUUUUUCAGAAAUUGCCUCUUCCCCUCUCGACUUCUUGUAAACCAAAUGAGUUCUAAAAUACAACCAUAUACCUACUUUAGUGGCUACUAGAGAGGAAGGGCCUGAAUUUUAAAGAUGUUCGAAAUAAAUAUCUUUAACUUGCAUUACUUUCAUCCAAAUACAUCUGCUAAACUUAAAACAAAUGCUUUAAAGUCCUGGAGGACAAGAGGCAUCCCGACCAU
rnacentral:lncRNA from 1 species